GACGAACGCUGGCGGCGCGCUUAACACAUGCAAGUCGAGCGAUGAAAUUUCGACAGUUCCCUUCGGGGUGAAGAUGAAAUGGAUUAGCGGCGGACGGGUGAGUAACACGUGAGUAACCUGCCUUUGACAUUGGGAUAGCCUCGGGAAACUGGGAUUAAUACCAAAUGACACUAACUGAUCACAUGAUCAAUUAGUCAAAGAAAUUCGGUCAAAGAUGGCCUCGCGGCUGAUUAGCUAGUUGGGGAGGUAACGGCCCACCAAGGCGUGGACCAGUAGCCGGCCUGAGAGGGUGAGCGGACACACUGGAGCUGAGACCCGGUCCAAACUCCUACGGGAGGCAGCAGUGGGGAAUAUUGCACAAUGGGGGAAGCCCUGAUGCAGCGACGCCGGGUGAGCGAAGAAGGCCUUCGGGUCGUAAAGCGCUUUUAUGAGGGAAGAUAAUGACGGUACCUCAAGAAAAAGCCCCGGCUAACUACGUG
rnacentral:rRNA from 1 species